GUGGUACUGAAGGCUUAUUUGCUCAGAAAACUAUAGAAAUCACAGAUGAUAUUAUUUCUUCUUACAAAAACCAAGGCGGUUUUGAUUUGCUAGGCCGAACGAAGGAUCGAAUAAGAACAAAUGAGCAAAUCAAUGCUGUUAAAGUUGCAUGUGAAGCAUUGAAAUUGAACGGUCUUGUGAUUAUUGGGGGUGUAACAUCCAAUACAGAUGCUGCUCACCUAGCUGAGACUUUUGCAAAGACAAAAUGUCAGACCAAGGU